UACGAAGGGGGCUAGCGUUGCUCGGAAUUACUGGGCGUAAAGCGCGCGUAGGCGGACCUGCAAGUCGGGGGUGAAAGCCCGAGGCUCAACCUCGGAACUGCCUUCGAUACUGCGGGUCUCGAGUCCGGGAGAGGUGAGUGGAAUUCCUAGUGUAGAGGUGAAAUUCGUAGAUAUUAGGAAGAACACCAGUGGCGAAGGCGGCUCACUGGCUCGGUACUGACGCUGAGGCGCGAAAGCGUGGGGAGCAAACAGG
rnacentral:rRNA from 1 species